GACGAGGUAGCCGAGUGGUUAAGGCGAUGAACUUCUUAUCCAUUUGGCUCUGCCCGCGUGGGUUCGAAUCCCAUCCUUUUCG